UGGGGAAUAUUGCACAAUGGGCGCAAGCCUGAUGCAGCCAUGCCGCGUGUGUGAAGAAGGCCUUCGGGUUGUAAAGCACUUUCAGCAGUGAGGAAGGGUGUGUAUUUAAUAGAUGCACAUUUUGACGUUAGCUGCAGAAGAAGCACCGGCUAACUCCGUGCCAGCAGCCGCGGUAAUACGGAGGGUGCGAGCGUUAAUCGGAAUUACUGGGCGUAAAGCGCAUGCAGGUGGUUUGUUAAGUCAGAUGUGAAAGCCCGGGGCUCAACCUCGGAACUGCAUUUGAAACUGGCAGGCUAGAGUACUGUAGAGGGGGGUAGAAUUUCAGGUGUAGCGGUGAAAUGCGUAGAGAUCUGAAGGAAUACCGGUGGCGAAGGCGGCCCCCUGGACAGAUACUGACACU
rnacentral:rRNA from 1 species